UCCUUGGUGGUCCAGUGGCUAAGACUCCGGACUCCCAAUGCAGUGGGCCUGGGUUCCACCCCCGGUCGGGGAA
rnacentral:tRNA from 1 species